UAAGUAAGCUUUGAUCCAGAGAUUUCCGAAUGGGGAAACCCAGCAUGAGUUAUGUCAUGUUAUCGAUAUGUGAAUACAUAGCAUAUCAGAAGGCACACCCGGAGAACUGAAACAUCUUAGUACCCGGAGGAAGAGAAAGAAAAUUCGAUUCCCUUAGUAGCGGCGAGCGAAACGGGAAGAGCCCAAACCAACAAGCUUGCUUGUUGGGGUUGUAGGACACUCUAUACGGAGUUACAAAGGACGACAUUAGACGAAUCAUCUGGAAAGAUGAAUCAAAGAAGGUAAUAAUCCUGUAGUCGAAAAUGUUGUCUCUC
rnacentral:rRNA from 1 species